AUGGGGUGCGUGGGGAGGAAGGGGAAGGGCAGGAGCCAGGCCAGGAGGUUCCGGGACUGCAAAAGCCUCGUGCACCACGCGCGCGACGCCACGCGCUGCGGGAGGCCGCUGGCGCACCGCGCGCUCGCCGCCGCCGUCUGCCGCGUGCUCGGCUGGGACGUCAAGCGGCUGCCCAGCAUCGUCAUCGACCCCCGCGGCACGCUCGGCCAGGCCCUCCUCGCCAGGGAGGGCGAGGGCGAGAGCGACGCCGCUGCUAUUGCUCACGAAGCAAAGGACAAUGUUGAUGCUGGGGAGAAUGGCCACAAGGAUGCAGCGAAGGAGGAUGUUGGUCUGGAGAAGAAUGGCUCCUUGAAUGAUGAAAGGAAGGAGGAUGUUGAUAGUAUAAUGAAUGAGGGCCCCUUGAGUGAUGGGGAUGCGGUGAAGGAGGAUGUUGAUAGUAUAAUGAAUGACGGCCCCUUGAGUGAUGGGGAUGCAACAAAGGAAGAUGUUGAUAAAGGGAAGAUUGACCCUCCAAGUAAUAACAAUGAUGAAGAGGUUCAUGAGCAAGGGAAUGGUACAGGAACUGCUGAAAAGGAAGGUGCUAUUGGCACUAAACAGGAGCAUCCUAAGAGUACAGAUGAUAUGAGGGGCACUUGUGAUGUCAGACUAGAAAACAAUUCAUCGAAGGAAGAAGCUGCUACAGAGAAUAAGGAGGAGCAUACUGACGUGUUGUUGACUCCGGAGAUGAUAUUGGUAACUUGGGAAACAAUUUAA
rnacentral:rRNA from 1 species